UGAUCCUGGCUGCGAGGUGCGCGCGCGGAGCGCUUCGCUCUGCUCUGCUCUGCUCAGCCUCGCGCCGUGGUUGGCGCCUGGCGCUGUCCUCCCCCGGCUGAGUCGUUCCGAGCUCUGGAAGCGUUUUUCUUAAACGCACUCAGCCCUCCCUCCGCCGCUGAGACUGCGCAGCGACAUUCACCCAGCCUAUGAUGCUGUUACCGCAACACCGUCGAAACCUGUUCUGAGAACGAUUGCCUCGGCCUUGGACCCGGGGAUGGGAGGUGGUCAAGAGACGAGUCACCGAAUGCCGAGGGUGGCACUGGGUGCAGAUCCCUUGUACCUGCGGGACCUCUGAAGAUGUGCAGCUAGUAAUGUUGAAGCAUCUUGGAUACGGAGAGUGCUCACCCUGAGCACAGCAGGAUGGUGUCAUUCAGACGAGGCGGCAGGGAGAUCAGCAGCCAGACUGUUGGAUGAGAUGUGGAGCAAGAGGAGACCCCGUGGUGCUGGUUGAGAGAAGAGACGAAAGAGACCUUAUUUUCUGGGAUAAAAAUAUUCAAAUCCAACAGGGAUAAAGUGAGAUGCUCUCUUUUAUCCCACCUCUUUCAUUCCAUCAGUUAUGACCACCAGUAGAAAGUCUUUAACGUGCAGGAACUUCACAGACACAGCAUUCUCACAGCACAUUGUUAAAACUGGUCUCUUUCUGGAUAAACCCAUUUUGAGACCAUAAAUGUUAACUGGUAAAUAUAUGGUAGUUUAGUAUUGAGUCUAUGUACCUUCCCCAGGCCACUCCUCCAGCCCCAAAGGCUUUGUUUAUCCAUUUAUAUACAACCUGGUCAUGUGGAAAAACCACCCGGUUGGAAUUCAGACAACCUCGGUUCUAAUUUCAGUUUGGCCACUUACAGAUCCUUUGUUAACUCAAGGAAAGCAACAACCUCUAUGCGCUUUUUUAAAAUUGGAGAUAUAAAAAUGCUGCCUAUUUCAAAACUACAAACCAAUACAAAUGUAGGGUUUACAUUUAAGUUGGAAGAGUAUAUUCUUGUCUAUUUUAGGAAAUAUAGUAAGGAAAGUUGUCUCCGUUUUUUGGUUUGGGUUAGCUGCUGCCCACAAAAAGUGUUUUACAUUUGCCAAAGAAGUACCAUCUAGAAUUCUUAAUUUUUAGCCAUUCUCCAGCACUUGUUUAUAGUUCCAGCACAGCAGUUAUCACUGUGGGUCUUAUAUUAAGUUACUUGCACAUCGCAUUUUCCAGUCUUCCUCAGUAGGCUUCUUUUUUAUCCUUGUGUUCUCACUCUGCCCUCUAUUACAUGGUGGGUGCUCAAUGAAUUUAAUUGAUUAAAUUAAACCGGAUUGUAAAUUUUCCCAAAUUUGGUGUUUUUCUUAUUAAGGCAUGCCAUCUGCUGGUUCCCUAGAGUAUCGGUCAGUCGGCCUGAAUACCUUAUUCCUAAAUUAAUAUUCAUGUUGAAGCAUUUGUGAGUUUGUGUGUUAGGCAAUUUUCCCACCUCUUUCACUCCUUGUUGCAGGUGCUCUUUCAUUGAACCGAUAUCGAAUUAUUUUCCCUCCAACCUUCUUUUACCUGUUGGGCACUCUUAAAAUCUGGAAAAGUGAAGCUUUCAUUUCGGAGCUCCGGUGUGACCAGGGGAAUACAAUUGGGCAUGCUCAGUAGGUUGGCCUGAUUUGGAACAAAAAUUUGUCUUGAAUGAGGCUUUCAUUGCGGCGUGUUUCAGGAUUGGAUGCAUCUUCAUUCUAGCAUUGUAUUGGGAGAUGGCAGCCGCUCCCACCCUUCACUCUUUUUAGUGUUCUUCGUGUGCCCAGUUUUGGAGCCAGCCCUCCUGGAUCUCCUGGCCAAUCAAGAGAUCACACAUUGUUGCCUAAGAGACCCCGGGCCAGCGAAAGGAUUUAUAGAUGGUGAUUGGACUACUGGAAGUAGGCAGGGUGGGCUGGACAGAGUCAAAGAAAAAGCAGCUAUGGCAACACCAGCGCUUGAGGCUUGAAGGAGGAGACGAGCUAAGGAGGUGAGAGCAUUGGGCCGAACAAGAAAAAGAUGGAGACUUUUUCGAGAGCUCCACCCUGAGACACCACCCCACCCGUGCCUCUCACAAAACCUCGUUAGGGCCCCUGGGGAUUGCAUUUUGCUGCUUUUCAGAUGCAGUUAGAGUGCCAGGUGCUCCAUG